GACGAACGCUGGCGGCGUGCUUAACACAUGCAAGUCGAACGAAGUGGCGAACGGGUGAGUAACGCGUAACCAACCUGCCCUCCAGAGGGGGACAACAGUUGGAAACGACUGCUAAUACCGUAUACUGAAGGAGGGGAUUGCGUCUGAUUAGGUAGUUGGGGGGGUAACGGCCCACCAAGCCGAUGAUCAGUAGCCGGUCUGAGAGGAUGAACGGCCACUUUGGGACUGAGACACGGCCCAGACUCCUACGGGAGGCAGCAGUGGGGAAUCUUCCGCAAUGGACGAAAGUCUGACGGGGCAACGCCGCGUGAGUGAUGACGGCCUUCGGGUUGUAAAGCUCUGUUAAUCGGGACGCGGUACCGGAAUAGAAAGCCACGGCUAACUACGUGCCAGCAGCCGCGGUAAUUC
rnacentral:rRNA from 1 species